UCAGUGGCUAAAACCUGAAUCUUUGAUUACCUUGCUGAACUUCGGUUCCAGAGGUUUCUGGAUGAUCAAGAUUACCUACGUUUUGAAGACUUCGUUUCCUGACUCCUGUCAUUCAUCUGGCCUAGGAUCAAGCUGGCAGCUUCCUGUUUCUCCUCUGUCUUCUGAACCAAGGCAUAAGCGUACCCUGUCCACCCUCCAAUGCAAGUACCUGAACAUUGAAUUAACUCCUGGUCCCACUAAGCUCACUCAACAGCAUCUGUGAAACCAUCUGGACUACUCUGCUUCAUAAACCUGGACCCUGAAUCCCUCUACCCCUGGCGACCUGACUGCACUUAUUUAUUGGCGAUCCACCCGUUCACAUUCCUGAUUCAUUUUGCUGUAAAUAAAGCACCUUUCACUGA